rnacentral:lncRNA from 12 species
GGCAGCUUUACAGCUCUGAUAAAGGUUGUGCUGAAGCAAUUUCUUCCUCUCAUGCUCACUUGCUAUGAUAGCUCAGAAGUGAUCUUUGGCAGCAGGGCUGUGAAAGGGGUGGUAAUGUUUAAUCAGUUUCUGUGGAGGAGUUAGCUUGCUUUUUCCUUUGUAGAUCAUUAUCUAUAGAAAGACGUUAAGGGCAGGCACACCAUGUUGAAAACAGAAUAGGCUGAACUAGUGCAGGGUCUCUGAAGAGUUCUUGGGGACUGAUUUAGAACAGAAAUAUUUUAAGCAGUUAAGCCAACAUUCGAUUAUAUUAGACCUUAAUAACAAAGUUACUUGAGAAACAUGGCUCAGCAGACAAGUCCAGAAAAUUUGCCUGUUCCUGAAGUGGAUAAUACACAGAGUCAAAAUCCAUGGCUAAAUGAAGAUCUUGUGAAGACCCUGAGAGAAAACCUGUUGCAACGUGAGAAGUCCAGGACAACUCAAAAAUCUUCACCUGCUUCUUCCCGGCUGUGUCCAGUUAUUUCUCCUCGAAACUCUCCAAGGCUCUUGAGAAGGAUGUUUUUAAAUAGCAACAUACCCAAACAGCGUCGUUUCACUGUGGCACAUACCUGGUAAGUACUCUGUAUUUUUCUUCCUAACAUUCUUCUCUGCCUUCUCGAAGUUCA